GCGGGCUGGCGCGGGUCGCUGGCCGGCGCGGCCUGGCGGGCGGCGGGCGCCUGCGUGUCGGCCACCGGCGCCUGUUCGGGCGCGGGCAGCAUGCGC
rnacentral:tRNA from 1 species